rnacentral:rRNA from 1 species
UACGUAGGGCGCAAGCGUUGUCCGGAAUUAUUGGGCGUAAAGAGCUCGUAGGCGGCUCGUUGCGUCGGCUGUGAAAACCCGCAGCUCAACUGUGGGCUUGCAGCCGAUACGGGCGGGCUGGAGUUCGGUAGGGGAGACUGGAAUUCCUGGUGUAGCGGUGAAAUGCGCAGAUAUCAGGAGGAACACCGGUGGCGAAGGCGGGUCUCUGGGCAACUCCUGACGCUGAGGCGCGAAAGCGUGGGGAGCGAACAGG